rnacentral:rRNA from 1 species
GCUACGGGAGGCAGCAGUGAGGAAUAUUGGUCAAUGGGCGGAAGCCUGAACCAGCCAAGUCGCGUGAGGGAUUAAGGCCCUGCGGGUCGUAAACCUCUUUUGCCGGGGAGCAGAGGUCCGGACGUGUCCGGGCCGGGAGAGUACCCGGAGAAAAAGCACCGGCUAACUCCGUGCCAGCAGCCGCGGUAAUCCGGGGGAUGCGAGCGUUAUCCGGAUUUAUUGGGUUUAAAGGGUGCGUAGGCGGGCAUUUAAGCCGGCGGUAAAAUGGCGGGGCUCAACCCCGGCCUGCCGUCGGAACUGGGUGCCUUGAGUGGGCGAGAAGUAUGCGGAAUGCGUGGUGUAGCGGUGAAAUGCAUAGAUAUCACGCAGAACCCCGAUUGCGAAGGCAGCAGACCGGCGCCCUACUGACGCUGAGGCACGAAAGUGCGGGUAUCGAACAGGAUUAGAUACCCCUGUAGUC